rnacentral:tRNA from 1 species
GGGAGUAGCUCAGUUGGCAGAGCGUCGGCUUCCCAAGCCGAAGGUCGCGGGUUCGAAACCCGUUUCCC